CAACAUUGAAGUGUAUUAACAUAGAACUCUAGAAGGCUUUAUAGAUACUCAUGAUAACAUCAGUCUGUGUUGUCUCUCCUUCAGGAUCAUAAUAUCACAAAGAACUGGAUUACCCUGGUGGAUAAGAAACUGAGCUGCACCAUCCUGUCCCUGACUGAGGCAGACAGUCAAACCUUCCACAUCACCAUGGAGCUGGCUAUCGAUCAACUGGACCUGGUCCAUCACAUGGUGGUCUAUGGCUGCAAAUUGUCUGUAAACCAGACCUAUGAGCAGAAAUGCCACAUGGGAGAACCAGCUGAUGAAUACAUCUGUGUAGUCUGCCUGUGGUGUAGGAGGGGUGACAGACUGCCCCCUUCUGGAGACUUUAAUACAUACACACAUGCAUGCACAAAUUAACACCCACACACACAUUAGUCUGCACUCUGUCUCUUCAUUAUCGAUUUGUCUUCUCUGGCUUUUUAGCUUCUAGAAAACACUGGCAUCCCUAUUGGAGGACAGGAUAAUGAUGAAUUCUACAAGCUGGAAAUUCACUACAACACGGUCCAAGAAGCAGAUAACAUUUUACUAGCUACAAGCUAGUAUAACCAUUUUCCAAACUACUGAUAAUGGAUCAACAGGCUUUCCAUGCUCCAAUCUUAAUUAUUGUGUGUGACAUGCAAAUUGUGUGUAGGCAAUCAGGACCAGAGAUAGUGAAAUAUAGGACACAACCGGCAUCAGCUGUGGAUUUGGAAACUAGAGGUGUAAUAUGUAUGUUCAAUAUGCAUAUCAGAGUCAGAAUCUGACUGGUUUUCCACAGAUAAAUGACCACAAAAUUCACAGCAACAUGUAAACCAGAGGAGGCUGGUGGGAGGAGCUAUAUGAGGACGUGUUCAUUGCAAUGGCUGGAAUGGAAUCAAUAGCAUGGUAUCAAACACAUGGAAACAACGUGUUUGACUCCAUUCCAGCCUCCCCUGGUGUAAACUCUGUGGAUUUGGAAACUGGAGGUGCUCCUGAGAAGAAUGGGUCCUCGUUUACUGUGACACAAUGUACAGGAAAUUGUGUACAGUGCAAUAUGAAUGACAGAACGUUGUGUGCAGUGUAAUACAAAUGGGCUAAAUAACAAAAAAAUGUAGAUGUGCUUUCUAAAGUUGAAUAU
ensembl:lncRNA